CCCGCAUCGCCGCCGCCCCGCCCGUGGCAAGCCCUAGCCGCCGCCUCCUCCCGCACUCGCGCGUCCUGCCCCUCGUGUGCGGCGCCUCCACCCAAACCCUAACCCUAGCUGCUCCCCACGCUGACGUUGUCUCCUUCACCUAGCCCGCCGGAUCCCCGCCGUCGUCCUCGCGUGCACACGGCAGGUGCUCCGCCUCUUCCUUCCAUCCGGCCAGAUCCGCGGCGCACGGUCUCUCGCGCUUGCUCGCAAUCCUCAGCCGUGGGCUUGGGUUUCGGGCUGGGCAUCGCCUUCGUCGCCGGCGCGGCUCCGGUGGAUUCCGGCGGCACCUCUUUGUCUCCUUCCUCGCCCCCACACGCGGCUGCACUUCCCGCUGGCCAUGGGGCUUGCUGGUAGCAGCGCCUCCCUCCCUCCCUGCCUGCCGCUGCCAGUCCCGCCGCCCGGAGCAGCGCCACCGACGGCUCCAUAGGCAGAAAUUCUAGCUAGGGCAUGGAACACAAGAAAGCUUGAGCAAAUCAUCAUGUGCAUGCUCAAAGGCUUGGUUAACAAGGGUGACAAUAAGAUGUGUGUACAAUUAAUUGCCAGGAAUAGCUUUAUAUUAGGAGCAGCUUCUCCACCACGCAGCGGCAGAGGAGGUGUGCUUCUUCCCCAACACAACAUAGCGGCAGCCACGUAUCCUCUGCCCUCUCCCUUUAUCUACCGUCUUCUGUUCCUUAUCAAAAAAAUCAUUUUUACCUUGUAUAAUACUUCUGAUUUGGACCGAUUUGUGUUUUGGGGGGCAUCAAUUUGGUGCUAACCCUGUCCAUGUGCAGAGAAAAGGAGAAGAAGGGGAUGGAUGAUCAAGGAGCAGAAGAACUAGAAGAAGAAGGGCAAGGGAGGUAGAACGAUAUGAAUGUCCAAGGAGGGUAUAGAAAACCAAUUAGUGUCGGCUGCCUUGAAGGGAGCCACAAGGAAGAGAGAGAUCAUUGUACAUGACCUGAAGAUGAUAAGGCGCCACUUCCAUGAUGACAUCAACAUCACCGUGGUCUGUCUUCAAUGGCACCUGGGGCGACAUCAGAUCAUGGUCGUGGAGCAGCAACUGCACCAGUGACCCUGCCAUGGCGGCGAUAUGGACGGCAUCACCAUAACCACAUUAAUGGUCCAAGCAUGAGGUCUCCGCCGAACGACGGCCACCCCCCUCCCUCUCUGCGCGCGCGUCCAGGUCAUUGUUGCUUUUGGUGUUACCCUGCGUUCAAAGGGAUCAAGAUGGUGCCUUUCUUUGGGUCUGCAUUUCGUCUACUACUUGUCCCACCUAGCAGUUGCUGGUGUUGCUUCCUGUUGGACAUAGCUCGUUCUCCAGUCUCCACCUUCGAUUUGUGACACAGAUUGGUUUAUUGUGAUGUUGCUUUGAACAAGGAAUGGGUGAUGCUAUACCACUAGGAUGUGUCAUCACCACAUACAUAAUUAGUCCCAGGAAAAAUAUAAAGCAUACCAAGGUGUGAUUGGUCUGCAGUGACGACCUUUGGGCCAACAACACAUGGGCAUUUCAGAGAUAAACUAUUGCAUCAGAAAUUUGCUUGGAGAAGAUCUGGGACACUCGGGUACAUUAGACCCACGAGGGCAAUGCGAGGGAGGCCAUGCGCUCAAGUGGGAGGCGGAGCUCGCCUCCCCCAAUGACGACGGCUUCGACCUCAAGUGGAUGUGGGAGGCCAAGUCCAAGCCAUGUGCUGCCGGCAAGGUCGAAACCAAGUGGGGCGCCAAGGAAGCCAACGAGGAUGACAAUAAUUCGGCAAGAAAGUGCGUCCAGAUAAAGGAGAUCUCCACCGGCUGCGAUGUCCAGAUCGAGGUACUCGGCAGAAAAGAUGAAAUUGUUGUGAUGAAAUAUGGGAUUUCCAGUGCUCCAGUAGCUAAAUGAUGAAAUGUGGGAGUAGAUUCAAGAGAAAGAUUGCAGUAACUUACUCCAGUAGCUUAGAUGGAACUUCGCUGUUUUGGAAUUUCCAGUAGCUUAAGUAUUGCAGUAGAUUUCCAAUAAAAUCUUGCCUGAGUGAUGUUUGCUUGGUUCCUAUGAAUCUUAAUCUUGGAUGUGUGUCUCUGAAUCUUAAUCUGAUGGGUGCUACUAUGAAUAAGGUUAGUUGUUGUUGAUUA